GACGAACGCUGGCGGCGUGCUUAACACAUGCAAGUCGAACGGAAAGGCCCUGCUUUUGUGGGGUGCUCGAGUGGCGAACGGGUGAGUAACACGUGAGUAACCUGCCCUUGACUUUGGGAUAACUUCAGGAAACUGGGGCUAAUACCGGAUAGGAGCUCCUGCUGCAUGGUGGGGGUUGGAAAGUUUCGGCGGUUGGGGAUGGACUCGCGGCUUUUAGCCUGUUGGUGGGGUAGUGGCGUACCAAGGCUUUGACGGGUAGCCGGCCUGAGAGGGUGACCGGCCACAUUGGGACUGAGAUACGGCCCAGACUCCUACGGGAGGCAGCAGUGGGGAAUAUUGCACAAUGGGCGGAAGCCUGAUGCAGCAACGCCGCGUGCGGGAUGACGGCCUUCGGGUUGUAAACCGCUUUCGCCUGUGACGAAGCGUGAGUGACGGUAAUGGGUAAAGAAGCACCGGCUAACUACGUG
rnacentral:rRNA from 1 species